UGGGGUAACGGCCUACCAAGGUGAUGAUACGUAGCCGAAUUGAGAGGUUGAUCGGCCACAUUGGGACUGAGACACGGCCCAAACUCCUACGGGAGGCAGCAGUAGGGAAUCUUCCACAAUGGACGAAAGUCUGAUGGAGCAACGCCGCGUGAAUGAAGAAGGCCUUCGGGUCGUAAAAUUCUGUUGUCAGAGAAGAACGUGCGUGAGAGUAACUGUUCACGUAUUGACGGUAUCUGACCAGAAAGCCACGGCUAACUACGUGCCAGCAGCCGCGGUAAUACGUAGGUGGCGAGCGUUGUCCGGAUUUAUUGGGCGUAAAGGGAACGCAGGCGGUCUUUUAAGUCUGAUGUGAAAGCCUUCGGCUUAACCGAAGUAGUGCAUUGGAAACUGGAAGACUUGAGUGCAGAAGAGGAGAGUGGAACUCCAUGUGUAGCGGUGAAAUGCGUAGAUAUAUGGAAGAACACCAGUGGCGAAAGCGGCUCUCUGGUCUGUAACUGACGCUGAGGUUCGAAAGCGUGGGUAGCAAACAGGAUUAGAUACCCUGGUAGUCCACGCCGUAAACGAUGAGUGCUAAGUGUUGGAGGGUUUCCGCCCUUCAGUGCUGCAGCUAACGCAUUAAGCACUCCGCCUGGGGAGUACGGUCGCAAGACUGAAACUCAAAGGAAUUGACGGGGGCCCGCACAAGCGGUGGAGCAUGUGGUUUAAUUCGAAGCAACGCGAAGAACCUUACCAGGUCUUGACAUCUUCUGACAAUUCCAGAGAUGGAACGUUCCCUUCGGGGACAGAAUGACAGGUGGUGCAUGGUUGUCGUCAGCUCGUGUCGUGAGAUGUUGGGUUAAGUCCCGCAACGAGCGCAACCCUUAUUGUCAGUUGCCAUCAUUAAGUUGGGCACUCUGGCGAGACUGCCGGUGACAAACCGGAGGAAGGUGGGGAUGACGUCAAAUCAUCAUGCCCCUUAUGACCUGGGCUACACACGUGCUACAAUGGACGGUACAACGAGUCGCUAACUCGCGAGGGCAAGCUAAUCUCUUAAAGCCGUUCUCAGUUCGGAUUGCAGGCUGCAACUCGCCUGCAUGAAGUCGGAAUCGCUAGUAAUCGCGAAUCAGCAUGUCGCGGUGAAUACGUUCCCGGGCCUUGUACACACCGCCCGUCACACCAUGAGAGUUUGUAACACCCAAAGUCGGUGGGGUAACCUUUUGGAGCCAGCCGCCUAAGGUGGGACAGAUGAUUGGGGUGAAGUCGAAACAAGGUA
rnacentral:rRNA from 1 species